AUUCCAGCUCCAAUAGCGUAUAUUAAAGUUGUUGCAGUUAAAAAGCUCGUAGUUGAACUUCUGUGUGUGCCCAGUUCUGGCUUCGGUCAAGCUGUGGUGCUCACAUCCGCUUGCAAACCUAGUCCGGCCUUCAUUGGUCGACUAGGGGAGUAGGCUUUUUACUUUGAAAAAAUUAGAGUGUUUCAAGCAGGCAAUGGCUCGAAUACAUUAGCAUGGAAUAAUGGAAUAGGACUUUUGUCCAUUUGGUUGGUUAUUGGACAUGAGUAAUGAUUAACAGGGACAGUUGGGGGCAUUAGUAUUUAAUUGUCAGAGGUGAAAUUCUUGGAUUUAUUAAAGACUAACUUAUGCGAAAGCAUUUGCCAAGGAUGUUUUCAUUA
rnacentral:rRNA from 1 species